rnacentral:lncRNA from 1 species
UCGUUACUGUAGAUAUUUGAUAAGGCUACUAUGGUUGGUACGGUCAUGGUCAUAGAUCGUGCCAUGGUUUGGCGAGCCAAAAAUGGACAUGAGCAAAUUGUCGUAUUUGUAUCUAAUUUGAUCAUUCUACUUGGGUAGUUGGAAAUCUGUAUCUGCCUUCAGAGAUGAAAGUUGUAAUUAUUUCGUGAAUUAUGACACAAAAAUCUGAGCAUUUCAUGAUUUAUUUGAUUUUCUCUAUUAUCCGGCAUGAUGUAUGCUUGUUGUUCAUGUUAAUGUACUAUUUUCUUAAUAAAUAAAUUAUUUUCAUAAUGUAAGAUCGAUCUACGAGGUAGCCAAAUGAUAAGCUUUUAAGUUAAAACAAUUAACUUUUAAAAGCUUACAAUGUUAAUUUAAUACUGUUUUCCUUACUGAGCAUAUAGAACUCACUCUUUCAAUUCCCCUCCCCCCCCAAAUGAGGAAGAAAAUGAGAAACCGUAAG